UUUCUAAAUUCAUCAGCUGAAGCAACCUCCCUCAUCCAAAGCUGAAGAGGAGAAAAUGGCGUCGUGUGGAGAUGGUUGGGAUGGUACGCAGACGUUAAGUCGCCAUGGGUUGACGCUCUUGGUUGACCACGAUGAGGUUGUAUCGAGUCGAUUAUUGGUUUACCAACGCCAACAGAAAUCCAGUGAAGAGGAUUCGAACCUCGUCAGAUGUCCGAUUACACACCGUCACCAAAAAUGUCAUAAUUUCAGAACUGAUAACGGGACAUCUGAUGUACGCCAUAUUUUCCCAACGCCUUCAAGCUGCUCCCCCAACCCUCCAUUACCCUGUAACUAAGCUCUGAACGACGAAGAGCCGUGGAUGCAGAAUAUGCAGAGAACUUUUAAAAUGGCAACUUUUGGAGCGGGCGUCAUCCGACCAGCCCCGCUACAAAGAAGAGGAAUCAAACGCCAUCGAGAAGCUCAGCCACGCAGGACAGCA